rnacentral:tRNA from 1 species
GGACACGUGCCUGAAGCUAAGGGCCACUUUGAUAGAGUGUAAAAUAGGAGUUCAAAUCCCCUCGUUUCCU